GGAGGGUUUAGUGAGGGCAAGGAAUGGGGAAGGUUUGGCAGGCUGACAAGACAAAGGUCCCUAACCUAAAUCUAUGAGUCAAUUAGUGCUCUUUUUUUUUUUUUUGUGGUACGCGGGCCUCUCACUGCUGUGGCCUCUCCCAUUGCAGAGCGCAGGCUCAGCGGCCACGGCUCACGGGCCCAGCCACUCCGCGGCACGUGGGAUCUUCCCGGACCAGGGCACGAACCCAUGUCCCCUGCAUCGGCAGGCGGACUCUCAACCACUGCGCCACCAGGGAAGCCCAACUAGUGCUCUUCUGAAUCCACUUUCUGCCACUGUCAGCUUCCGCCAGUCAGAAAAUUGCAUGGUCUCCUGUCAAAAGUGAACUGGAUUGAAGGAGGGCUGAGUCACUGACAUGGUAGAUCAGUUCUCUCAUUUGAACAGCAGGGUUUUUACAGCCUGCUUUGUCAGGAAAAACAUUCCUUAGAGUAUCGUUUUUUGUUUAAAACAGAAAUCAUUGUGUUGAAUGCUUCUGACUUGGCUGUAGAGCAAGCAAGCACAUGCCCUCCAGAAAUAUCAAGAAAGGAGAAGCUUACCGCAUGGCAAACUGCCUCCACUUCUCAUCCAAAAUAGACCUCUGGCUGAGGAACCUUGGCUACUGGCUUCUGAACCAUCUUGCUUGGCGCUGGCAUCUCUGUGACCUCCCAGGAUGGGUCUUGGCCUUACCAUCCCUUUGCCAUCCUGGGCCACCACUCCCAACUUUAACCACAGACUCAGACAGUUGCCUGAUCUCUAGAUUCUGGUGACAGCCUGCCUACUUGCUCUUCUUGCCCUCACCAAACUCACUGACCAAGCACAUCGCACAAGAAGAGGGGCUUCCCUGGUGGCUCAGUGGUUAAGAAUCCGCCUGCCAAUACAGGGGACAUGGGUUCGAGCCCUGGUCCGGGAAGAUCCCACGUGCGGCGGAGCAACUAAGCCCAUGUGCCACAACUGCUGAAGCCCAUGCGCUUAGAGCCUGUGCUCUGCAACAAGAGAAGCCACCGCAAUGAGAAGCCCGCGCACCAUGACGAAGAGCAGCCCCCGCUCACCGCAACUAGAGAAAGCCCGCGUGGAGCAACAAAGACCCAACGGAGCCAAAAAUAAAAUAAUAAAAUUUAAAAAGUAAAAUAAAUCAUUUAAUAGAUGAUUCUGUAGCACGUGGUGUGUGUCAGACCAUAGUGCCAGGUGCAGACAUACUCCCUUCAACAGGGAGCUCAGGGUCUAGUGAAAGAAACAGGCAAAUAAACAGAUAAUGAUUGUAUGAUAAGGUAAGUGUCAUGACAGAGCAAUAAAUGGGAUUUUUAUGAGAGUGGUACUCUUCUUCCAUGUCAGAGACCGUCAAAUGUGGCUGAAUGCUACCUACAUGUGUCUUAUUAGGUCCUUUUAGUGUUGGUCAAAUCAGCAUUAAAUUU